rnacentral:sRNA from 1 species
AUGCGCCGGUGGCGUGAUGGAGCAGCAGCAGCAGCAGCAACAGCAACUGAGAAACGUAAGUGAGAACUAAGUCGUUUCGAGGCCAGACGUUCAGCUCGCAUUCCUGCACACAUCGCGGGAACCCCACAGGGCCAGGGAUUUGAGGGCUGGAAACUUCGGGCUAUGGCGCGCGGGCCUGGGAAACUUUGGGCGGCGCGACCUUGACUAGAAGUGUGGGGCCCUUAUCGCUGAGUUUGUGGUCCCCCUUUUCUCUCAGCUGCGUGACUUCCUGUUGGUCUACAAUCGGAUGACAGAACUCUGCUUCCAGCGCUGUGUGCCCAGCUUGCACCACCGAGCUCUGGACGCUGAGGAGGAGGCCUGUCUGCACAGCUGUGCUGGGAAGCUGAUCCAUUCCAACCACCGCCUCAUGGCCGCUUACGUGCAGCUCAUGCCUGCCCUGGUACAGCGCCGCAUCGCAGACUACGAGGCUGCCUCGGCUGUGCCAGGCGUUGCUGCUGAACAGCCUGGGGUCUCUCCAUCAGGCAGCUAGCCAUCCCCAACCCCAGGAGGGAAGGCCCUGGAUGGACCCUCAGAUUGAAGGACCCAGUGGACCU